rnacentral:tRNA from 1 species
GAGUGAUUAGUUAAACUUAUAACUUCUACCUUGAAAGUAGAGAUUGAAUUAAUCUUUUUCAUUACUCU